rnacentral:lncRNA from 10 species
GAGGGCACCAAGUAGGCAAGAAACUCUCUCCCCUGCACACUUUGUAUCAAAGGAGCUUUUGAAGAAGUGAGGGAGCUUUCAAAAUUUGUGUUUGGGGUGCAGAACUUAAGUGUACAUUUCCACACUCCCUUCACUUUGAGUUUAUAACUACUGAGAACUAAAUCAAGAACACCAUUCAAAGAUUUACAAAAGGAAAUAUUCAUGUAAUAUGGAAUUAAUCUUAAGAAAUGUAAAUAAAAGCAUUCUUUGGAUAUAAAUUUAAAAGCAAAAAGCCUUGGUCUUCCAAAUCAUUGCACAAAAUUAAUUAAACUUUUCCCUAUUAGAUAUCCAACUGCUUUUUAUUUCAGAAGUGAAGUUACAUUACUGAUGGGUAUAAUGCUCCAUAGUGGCUUAUUACUUAUUCUCCUUUAGAACAAAACCUCUCUUUAGUGGAUAAUGUAUUUCCAUAUGCUGCUUUACCUUGUUGCUGUUAUUGUUUUGCAAGCUCGAACAAUAUGCUGAAAGUUCCAGUGAACAGAGAUUUAUCUUUUACCCACCACAAGUACCACCAUUUUUCCCUCAGGUCCUCUUUCCCCUACCUCCGCAACCGCCCCUGGUAAGCAUGGGUUUGGGGAAUCUGAAAUAGCUAAAAGGAUUUAUUUGUUGGAUGGUGGUUAUGAAACUUUCCAAAUUUUGAUACUGAAAUAUGAGGCUUUAGGCAGUCCCCAGGAAUCAGCUAUUCAAACUUCUCUCCCAUAUAGCUUAUAGUGGAACGUGACAAGGGGCUAGCAAAUUUCCCUCCAAAUCUUCAGUGCCCUCUCGCAGUGUUUCUCUGCACUUACUAUUAAAAAGGUGUUUGUGCUGAAUUACUUUGACCGUUACGAGCUUACUCUUUAUGAAGAGAAUACUUCUUUCUAUAAUAUCCAUUCUUUUGCUUUUUCAAAUUCACCUUGUUGCUUUCUUUCUCUAAGAAGAUUUUUUUUCCCCAGCUUUCUAUAACUUUUUCCCAAGUUCAAGCAAAAUAGUUAUUUUGCUUUUCUGUUUGGACUCUCUCCAGGCUCUCCUAAUAUCUGGAUUCUUAAAACAUUUUUUCAAUAAAGUUUGGAACAAUGCUAAAUACACAAUAGAGUUGCCUUUAUUCUAUAUAUAACACUUUUGUAAGUCGACUACAUUAUAGAGUCAACGGUGAGUGCUUGAGGUACAAACAGUAUAAGUUCAGAUCUGAUGAGGAAGAGAGACUCAUAAAGGGAAACUACAAUGUAAUUUGAUAAGUAUUUCGAGACACAAAUACAAAGCUAUGGAUCAAAGACUUCAGAGAAGACAGUAUCUGAACCAGGUCUUGA